UUGAUAGUAUUUAUGUGGUAAAACUACAGCCUUCCAAGCUGUUGUCGCGAGUUCGAUUCUCGUCACCCGCU
rnacentral:tRNA from 1 species